GUGCUUGCUUUAGCAGCACAUAUACUAAAAUUGGAGCGAUACAGAGAAGAUUAGCAUGGCCCAUGCGCAAGGAUGACGUGAAAUUCAAAUUCGUGAAGCAUUCCAUGUUUAA
ensembl:snRNA U6 U6 spliceosomal RNA